rnacentral:rRNA from 1 species
GACUUUAAGAAAAAAUUGUGCUGUUAUCCCUACGGUAGCUUGGUUGAAUCUCAAUUUGAGGAUAGAAAGAGAGUGGGGAAAGAAGAUUUAGUUUUUUACCGCCCCAGUUCAACAUAAGUAAAGUUCGAUAGGGUCUUGUCGUCCUUCUUUGUUAUUCAAGUUUUUUUACUUGACAGAAAAAUUAAAAUAGUUAGGGUAAUAAAGAAAUUUAUACGUCAGACCUUUCAUACUGGCCUUUAAUUAGAAGGCAAAUGAUUAUGCUACCUUAGCACAUAUUAUUGCGGCUAUUAAAAGGAUCAUUGAGCAGGUCCUACUGAAUAUAAUCUCAUUCAGAAAUGUUUUUGGUAAACAGACAAUAAAUUUAGAGGCCGAGUUCAUGGACCCAAAGUUAAAGCGAUGAAAGUGGGUGGGGGGAUGGUUUAAAUAAAUAAAGUAAGAAGAAUUUUACUAAUAAGAUCAUUGUGAAAAUUAAUAGAUGGCCUUCUUUUAACACAAUUUUAAAAGGAGAGGAGCAUGAGUUUGAAAACUUAGGGGACACUAUUAAUCCUGGGUCUUGAAUGGGAGAGGUGGAGUAAUAAUUAAAAAAGAUUAUCCCUUUUUAAAUUUUAGUAUUAUUACUUUUAACGAAAACCAGAUAUUAAAGAACGCGAAUGGAAUUUCAUCUCUAUAUCCACUUUGGAAAACUUUGUGAAACAAGCUUGACAAGGGAGAAUAGAUCGUUUCUAUUUCGGGAAAAUUUUUUAAAAAAUUGGGGUUGAUUUUCCCUGAUACCAAAGGUACAUUAAAUUUCUAUUUUUCAAUUUAGGGGUGCUUCCCCUCACGGUAAAAUAAUAAUAAGGCGCUUAGGAAAAUAAAGUAAAUAUUUGUUUAGGCAGAAUGAAAAAAUAAGUAGGCU